rnacentral:misc_RNA from 1 species
GUACCUUCAAGCUUUGCUUGGUGUUGGGUGUUUGUCCUGAGGGACUCGCCUUAAAGUCAUUGGCAGCCAGUGUUUGGUUUUGAAGCGCAGCACAAGUCGCGAUUCAAGGCUAUACGCCAGCUUCCACAAGCCUUUUUCAC